rnacentral:rRNA from 1 species
GAUGAACGCUAGCGGCAGGCUUAACACAUGCAAGUCGAGGGGUAUAGGGAGCUUGCUUCCUAGAGACCGGCGCACGGGUGCGUAACGCGUAUGCAAUCUACCUUUUGCAGAGGAUAGCCCAGAGAAAUUUGGAUUAAUACCUCAUAGUAUAGCAGUUUCGCAUGAAACCACUAUUAAAGUCACAACGGCAAAAGAUGAGCAUGCGUCCCAUUAGCUUGUUGGUAAGGUAACGGCUUACCAAGGCAACGAUGGGUAGGGGUCCUGAGAGGGAGAUCCCCCACACUGGUACUGAGACACGGACCAGACUCCUACGGGAGGCAGCAGUGAGGAAUAUUGGACAAUGGGCGCAAGCCUGAUCCAGCCAUGCCGCGUGCAGGAUGACGGUCCUUAUGGAUUGUAAACUGCUUUUGUACAGGAAGAAACACUGGUUCGUGAACCGGCUUGACGGUACUGUAAGAAAUAAAGGAUCGGCUAACUCCGUGCCAG